GUGAACGCCCUCACGGGCUUAUACUAUUCCAAACCUCUGUGAACCGUGCCCUUCGGGGCUAUUUUACAAACAUGGUGUAAUGAACGUCAGUAUAUCAUAACAAAACA
rnacentral:misc_RNA from 1 species